rnacentral:misc_RNA from 1 species
GUGAAGAACGCAGCGAAAUGCGAUAAGUAAUGUGAAUUGCAGAAUUCAGUGAAUCAUCGAAUCUUUGAACGCACAUUGCGCCCCCUGGUAUUCCGGGGGGCAUGCCUGUUCGAGCGUCAUUUCACCACUCAAGCCUCGCUUGGUAUUGGGCAACGCGGUCCGCCGCGUGCCUCAAAUCGACCGGCUGGGUCUUCUGUCCCCUAAGCGUUGUGGAAACUAUUCGCUAAAGGGUGUUCGGGAGGCUACGCUGUAAAACAACCCCAUUUCUAAGGUUGACCUCGGAUCAGGUAGGGAUACCCGCUGAACUUAAGCAUAUCAAUAAGCGGAGGA